GUGUGUGUGUGUGUGUGUGUGUGUGUGUGUGUGUGUGUGUGUGUGUGUGUGUGUGUGUGUGUGUGUGUGUGUGUGUGUGUGAGUGUACCUGCGAGGUUGGCGUGUGUGAGACUCUCUCUCAGAGGAGAUACAGGCGAUGUGAGUGUGUG